CCUACGGGAGGCAGCAGUGGGGAAUAUUGCACAAUGGGGGAAACCCUGAUGCAGCGACGCCGCGUGAGUGAAGAAGUAAUUCGGUAUGUAAAGCUCUAUCAGCCGGGAAGAAAAUGACGGUACCUGAGUAAGAAGCCCCGGCUAACUACGUGCCAGCAGCCGCGGUAAUACGUAGGGGGCAAGCGUUAUCCGGAUUUACUGGGUGUAAAGGGAGCGUAGACGGCAGUGCAAGUCUGGAGUGAAAUGCGGGGGCUCAACCCCCGGACUGCUCUGGAAACUGGACGGCUGGAGUGCAGGAGAGGCAAGUGGAAUUCCUAGUGUAGCGGUGAAAUGCGUAGAUAUUAGGAGGAACACCAGUGGCGAAGGCGGCUUACUGGACUGUAACUGACGUUGAGGCUCGAAAGCGUGGGGAGCAAACAGGAUUAGAUACCCCAGUAGUC
rnacentral:rRNA from 1 species